rfam:Parcubacteria bacterium GW2011_GWB1_44_7 TW71_C0012, whole genome shotgun sequence.
CGGGGUGUAGUAUAGAGGUAGUAUGCACGUUUUGGGUACGUGAGGCCCGAGUUCAAUUCUCGGCACCCCGA